rnacentral:rRNA from 2 species
CUAAUACAUGCAAGUCGAACGCACUCUCGUUUAGAUUGAAGGAGCUUGGCUCCUGAUGUNGUAAACAUUUGAGUGAGUGCCGGACGGGUGAGUAACACGUGGGUAACCUGCCCUAAAGUGGGGGAUAACAUUUGGAAACAGAUGCUAAUACCGCAUNNAAACCUAAGCACCGCAUGGUGUAGGGUUGAAAGAUGGUUUCGGCUAUCACUUUAGGAUGGACCCGCGGUGAUUAGUUAGUUGGUGAGGUAAAGGCUCACCAAGAGCCGUGAUGCAUAGCCGACCUGAGAGGGUAAUCGGCCACACUGGGACUGAGACACGGCCCAGACUCCUACGGGAGGCAGCAGUAGGGAAUCUUCCACAAUGGACGAAAGUCUGAUGGAGCAACGCCGCGUGCA